CAAAUCACGAUGAUGGGAAAACUGGCAAAACGGAAGCUGAUCCAGUUUUUCAUGACCCUUUAUACAUGAACGUCAACAGGGCAUUUGAAGGUGGCGAUACUCCACAUGAACCGGUUUAUGUGAAUUCUCCUCAACAGAAUCCCGUGAAAGAUGGCGGUGAAAAUCCGUAUGACGAAAUGGAAAAUCCAUAUGCUGACUUGAACAUCACGCCUGAUGUGACCGCUAACCAGACGUAUGCUGAACUGAGGCCAUUAGCAUAAAGCCAGAACAUGGAGAAGUUAAGCGGUCACUAUAAAGCGGUUUGUGUCGGUCACACUGAAAAUAGAAAAACGCCUUCUGUUACCAUGAUUCAAGAUGUCAGCAAAAAGUGCUUCCCAGCAGGUAACUCUCAGAUGAUAUAUUUUUCCUGGGAUGUAGACCUGUAUACAUUGUUCGUGUUCCUACUUCAUCAGCAUGGUGUAUGGACAUUAAGAAGCAUGACAUAUAAUCAGGCUCAAGCCAAAAAUCGAACUCUGUGUCUUGAAGUGGACAAAAAUGGCUUAUUAUGUCUUCCUUUCUUUCAAUUGGUUUCAACUGAAAAUGUAGUACCAGGACUUCGAGCAGCUUACAGCAGAUGAUCAUGAGGUCGUUGCAAAAACACCUUCGGUAUUCAAAGGAAUGCAAUCCAUUUGCACACACAUACAUACUGCUUCAUGUUUGUUCUCCCCCUUUGUUUCGUUUAGUAAUACGCAUUAUUCAAAAUAAGAAAUGUGUACAUGGAGUAAAUAUUUGUAAAAUAAGGUAGAACCUCUCUAUUAAGGACACUGUUGGGACUGACAAAUACUGUCCUUAAUAGAGAGGUGUCCGGAUAAGAGAGGUCAAAUUGAAUUGUUGCAACCAAUUUGGGACUUAAAGUAGUGUCCAUAAUAGAGAGGUGUCCACUAAGGGAAGUUCCACUAUACUAAGAUAGCAGAAAUUGGUAUGUUAGCCAAUACGUUUUCCCAUUCAGUAUAUCAAUUUACCUAUUCAAGAAAAAUCGUGUUCAAAAUCAUCAGUUGUGUAUACUUGUCAUCUAUAGUAGUGAAUAAAACUUGUGUGUACAUUAAUUAGGCAAACUCUAAUAGUCAUAUAACUUGAUUUGUUUUAUAUGUUUGCAUAUGUAAAAUGCAUGUCUCGUGCACACUGAUGCACACAAAACUCUCUUAU